ensembl:lncRNA
UCGGGCUAGCUAGCCAAUGGGAUAGGUCCAUGAUUUGAUUCGUCCCCGCACGUGCGGCUCGGUGACGGUGACUUGUCACUCGAUUGCAUUGGUCAUCAACUGUCUUUUUUACAUGACCACGGAAUCAAAAACAUCAACAACAGCAAAUGAGUGGCGUGUUACGAUCGAAAACACAGGCAUCACAGAGAGACAGGGAGAGAGACAGGCAUGCUGAAAGCAGUGGCCAGACAGGGACAUGCUCUGGACAUGCAGGUGAUAAGGCAGCACAGACAGACAGGGAGGCAGAGAGGCAGGCUGAAAGCAGUGGCCAGACAGGGGUAUGCUCUGGAAAUGCAGAUGAUC